CUGCACCGCAUCGAGGCCUCCCUGCCGGCCUCCCUCGCCGCCCUACACCGCACCGUCGAGUGGGCGGCCGCUCCUCCUUCACCUACAAUCAAAUAUUCACGGAUCGGCCAGGCUACAACAAGAUUAUUAUGCAUCAUCUGCAUGAGUUCUGGAGCAGUAGGCAGCCCCAUCAGAUUGGCCAGAUCGCCAGUGCCUAGGAGCCUGCUCCGGCACCCGUGCCGCCGCGCCCGCCCUGAAAUUCCCCUGAACCAGUCAGCCACACGCAACCAUAAUUCUUCCCUGCACUUCUUCAGGGCCUAACGUCCAAAUUUCAGGGGUUAAGGUACCCCAACUCAGCAGAAUACGUGACCCAUGUUGCACAAUUGAAGAUGGUUCGUUCGUCGAUUUAGG